AUUGAACGCUGGCGGCAUGCUUUACACAUGCAAGUCGAACGGCAGCACGAAAGAGCUUGCUCUUUUGGUGGCGAGUGGCGAACGGGUGAGUAAUGCAUCGGAACGUACCGAGUAAUGGGGGAUAACUGUCCGAAAGGAUAGCUAAUACCGCAUACGCUUUGAGAAGGAAAGUGGGGGCUCUUCGGACCUCACGUUAUCCGAGCGGCCGAUGUCUGAUUAGCUAGUUGGUGGGGUAAAGGCCUACCAAGGCGACGAUCAGUAGCGGGUCUGAGAGGAUGAUCCGCCACACUGGGACUGAGACACGGCCCAGACUCCUACGGGAGGCAGCAGUGGGGAAUUUUGGACAAUGGGCGCAAGCCUGAUCCAGCCAUGCCGCGUGUCUGAAGAAGGCCUUCGGGUUGUAAAGGACUUUUGUUAGGGAAGAAAAGGAUAGUGUUAAUACCAUUAUCUGCUGACGGUACCUAAAGAAUAAGCACCGGCUAACUACGUG
rnacentral:rRNA from 1 species